UACGUAGGGUGCAAGCGUUGUCCGGAAUCAUUGGGCGUAAAGCGCGCGUAGGCGGCCCGAUAAGUCCGCUGUAAAAGUCAACGGCUCAACUGUUGAAAGCCGGUGGAUACUGUCGGGCUAGAGUACGGAAGAGGCAAGUGGAAUUCCUGGUGUAGCGGUGAAAUGCGCAGAUAUCAGGAAGAACACCUAUGGCGAAGGCAGCACUCUGGGACGGUACUGACGCUGAGACGCGAAAGCGCGGGGAGCGAACAGG
rnacentral:rRNA from 1 species